rnacentral:autocatalytically_spliced_intron from 2 species
UUGAGCCGGAUGCGGGGUGACUCGCACGUCCGGUUCUUAGCGCAGUAACCGCGGCCGCGGU